rnacentral:rRNA from 1 species
GUGUCAGCAGCCGCGGUAAAACGUAGGAGGCAAGCGUUAUCCGGAUUCACUGGGCGUAAAGCGCGCGUAGGCGGUCGGGUAAGUCGGAUGUGAAAGCCCCUGGCUCAACUGGGGGAGGUCAUUCGAUACUGCUCGGCUUGAGGAUGAGAGAGGAGAGCGGAAUUCCCGGUGUAGCGGUGGAAUGCGUAGAGAUCGGGAGGAACACCAGCGGCGAAAGCGGCUCUCUGGCUCAUAUCUGACGCUGAGUGCGCGACAGCGUGGGGAGCAAACGGGAUUAGAAACCCCCGUAGUCC